UUUAAUAAGCAAGAGAACAAACUUACCUCCAAGCCUGUCUUCAACAACCGCAAGAUGAGUGGAUCUCCGCAUUGCACGCCAGAAUCUUAUAGUUUACAUAGAGGUCUAGACGGGGUUCAGUCACGAAUGUAGUCCAGAUGGUCUCAAUAACACGUGCUCUCUCAAGGCUGCUCCUUGAAGAGGCUCCCCUGUGGGAAUGGUGGGAGGAGCUUACAUUCCCAGGACGCGGGAGGCAGGUAAGGAGCGUCCAGUAGCCAGGGUCCCAAGAUUGGUCGAUCCAGCUCACAGGUGAACCUGCUUUCAUGUCCUCUAGAUGACCUCCUGCAACAAGGUUUUAGGGCCAAACAGAUUAACUGGGACUGAAAUUGUAUGACUCCAGAGCUGCCUUCUGUGUUCUGCUUUGGAAAUGGAGAAUCCACUGGAAGAGGGAAAAGUGGAUUCAGGAGACUAACUAAUAUUCCAGAAGAUAGAUGGAGAUAUUUUAAUAUUUCAACAAUCAGGAUGCAUCUUGAAGUGAAUAUCAUCAGGAACUUUACAGCUACCAGUAAGAAGACAAAAAUGAUUUUAGCCUAAUUCUUCUUAAUAAAUGGCAAUUUUUUGAAGUCUGAGACAGACAGGUGUGAACUAUUCAUGCUUCCAAAUAAUCACCAGAAUCUUGCAAGAAUAUGUAAUAAAAUUUGGAAAUACAGGGGAAGGGGAGGGCGAUACAGGUUUAACCGAAUUUAAAGAGCAAUACACACAAAUCC
rnacentral:lncRNA from 1 species